AAAUAACACUGCAGGAGCAUCUGAACUGCCUGUCCCAGUGUAUCCUACUUUACAGUCAGAGAUCACCAGAGAACAAAGUUGUCCAGACUGAAUGUCAAGACACAAGGUGAAGGAAAGAGUGAGGAGUGAGAGACGGAUAGGAGCAGGGGAGAGGUGUUGUCCAGACCAGAAGGGGCCUCUGAAAGUGUUGCGUAGAAACAGGCUCCUCACCUUGAGGAUCAGCACCACGUUCUACUUAUCUCAGCGCCUGAAAUUCUCAUAACGGGCCGUUUGAAGACACAGCUGGGGAGAGAAGAAAAGAAAAGUGAAGUUAGUCACUCUCCCUCAUUCCCUUGCUGGGCUGCCUCUCAUGAUGGGGGUCUCCUGGGUGGUUCUGAAGCCCACAGCCUUCUGUUAGGCCAUCCGCCAGCGCUGAUCACUCACACACCAUGACACCGGAUGGGUGAUCUUUAAGUGAGUGUGUGUCUGCUGGGGUGUGUGUGCACGUGAGCAUGCACAGAUGCCAG